rnacentral:rRNA from 1 species
UACGGGGGGGGCAAGCGUUGUUCGGAAUUACUGGGCGUAAAGGGCUCGUAGGCGGCCAACUAAGUCCGACGUAAAAUCCCCAGGCUUAACUUGGGAACUGCGUCGGAUACUGGAUGGCUUGAAUUCGGGAGAGGGAUGCGGAAUUCCAGGUGUAGCGGUGAAAUGCGUAGAUAUCUGGAGGAACACCGGUGGCGAAGGCGGCAUCCUGGACCGACAUUGACGCUGAGUGAGCGAAAGCUAGGGGAGCAAACGGG